rnacentral:hammerhead_ribozyme from 1 species
AUCUAUCUGACAAGUCCCAAAAUAGGACGAAACGCGAGUCCAGGAU